AACGAACGCUGGCGGCAUGCCUAACACAUGCAAGUCGAACGAGAUCCUUCGGGGUCUAGUGGCGCACGGGUGCGUAACGCGUGGGAAUCUGCCCUUAGGUUCGGAAUAACAUUUAGAAAUGACUGCUAAUACCGGAUGAUGACGUUAAGUCCAAAGAUUUAUCGCCUGAGGAUGAGCCCGCGUAGGAUUAGCUAGUUGGUGUGGUAAAUGCGCACCAAGGCGACGAUCCUUAGCUGGUCUGAGAGGAUGAUCAGCCACACUGGGACUGAGACACGGCCCAGACUGCUACGGGAGGCAGGAGUGGGGAAUAUUGGAGAAUGGGCGCAAGCCUGAGCCAGCAAUGGCGCGUGAGUGAUGAAGGCGUUAGGGUUGUAAAGCUCUUUUAACCGAGAUGAUAAUGACAGUAUCGGGAGAAUAAGCCCCGGCUAACUACGUG
rnacentral:rRNA from 1 species